GCAAGGCGCCUAUGGAUGGGGCUGCGUCCCAUCAGCUAGUUGGUGAGGUAAUGGCUCACCAAGGCUACGACGGGUAACCGGUCUGAGAGGAUGAUCGGUCACAGUGGGACUGAGACACGGCCCGCACCCCUACGGGGGGCAGCAGUGGGGAAUAUUGGGCAAUGGCCGAAAGGCUGACCCAGCAACGCCGCGUGGUGGAUGAAGCCCUUCGGGGUGUAAACACCUUUUCUGGGGGAAGAUAAUGACGGUACCCCAGGAAUAAGGGACGGCUAACUACGUGCCAGCAGCCGCGGUAAUACGUAGGUCCCGAACGUUGCGCGAAAUUACUGGGCGUAAAGGGUCCGUAGGCGGUCUGGUAAGUGGAAGGUGAAAUCCUACGGCUCAACCGUAGAAUUGCCUUCCAAACUGCUGGACUUGAGGCAGGGAGAGGUCGGCGGAAUUCCCGGUGUAGCGGUGAAAUGCGUAGAUAUCGGAAGGAACACCAGUGGCGAAGGCGGCCGACUGGAACUGUCCUGACGCUGAGGGACGAAAGCUAGGGGAGCAAACCGGAUUAGAUACCCGGGUAGUCCUAGCCGUAAACGAUGGAUGCUAGAUGUGGCCUACGAAAGUAGGCUGUGCCGCAAGCAAACGCGUUAAGCA
rnacentral:rRNA from 1 species